CAGGUCAUUGAUGAACUGGUUUCCCAAACACUGAUAAGAGUAUAUAGACAUUUAUUACCAAGAGAAUCACUCACCAUUACGAGGAGAAAUACUCACGAUCACCAGGAGAAUCACUCACCAUUACGAGGAGAAAUACUCACGAUCACCAGGAGAAUCACUCACCAUUACCAGGAGAAUCACUCACCAUUACCAGGAGAAUCACUCACCAUUACCAGGAGAAUCACUCACCAUUACCAGGAGAAUCACUCACCAUUACCAGGAGAAAUACUCACCAUUACCAGGAGAAAUACUCACCAUUACCAGGAGAAUCACUCACCAUUACCAGGAGAAUCACUCACCAUUACCAGGAGAAAUACUCACCAUUACCAGGAGAAUCAUUCACCAUUACCAGGAGAAAUACUCACCAUUACCAGGAGAAAUACUCACCAUUACCAGGAGAAUCACUCACCAUUACCAGGAGAAUCACUCACCAUUACCAGGAGAAUCACUCACCAUUACCAGAAUUACUACUUACCCCUACCAGGAGAAUUACUCACCAUAGCUGACUACUGCAGUUGUCAAUAUGCCUGGUAAAACCUACUUUUCUCCUUCUUCUCAUCUUAUCCUGCCUCUCAAAUGUGCAGGGGGGCAAACUCUAAGAAGAGAAACCAGGAGGAAGAUACUAAGUGUCAAAUGUGGACCUUGCUGAAGAAGUCGGAAUUUGCAACUUCAACAGUAUAAAACAUAGCUGGAACACAAAUUGUGAUGAAAAAGAGCAGAUUAUGCAGAAUAAAUAUAAAAUUUUUAAAACACAAACUUA